AGGGAUGUAGUUAAACAUAACAUUUAAUUUGCAUUUAAAAAGUAUUAAUUUUUAUUAAUCUUCCUU
rnacentral:tRNA from 1 species